UGUUGACCUACUGACUCAGUUAUGAAGCAUCAGGGAAGCAGUCUUACUGUGGUUUCUUUUGUUGGUGGCAGAUUCAGAAGACGUCUGUGAGCGUACGGGUAUGACUAGCAAAGGAGAGACGGUUCUUAUACCUGCUGCCUGUGGGAUUUAUUUUGUGCCAGGAAGGAGCUGAGGUGCUGAAUACUGAAUAACACCUAAACUUUAUUUCUGAUGCUUCUCCCGAUAAAGCGUUGGUGCUGAUCUUGUGAGAGCGCCUUGCAUAUUCCAAAGGAAGAACAUGUUGUUUGAGGGAAAAUCUAUUUAUAAAUAUGCUCAAACUGAAAGAUUCUGAGGACAAACAUGUCAAUAAUGAAUUGUUCGAGAAAUACACAGAAAAUUGUGCAUGGUGGAGGCUGUUUUUUCUGAGGCAGAAACUCAUCUCAACUCCUCAUGACCAGCUGAGCAAGGGAGAUGGGAUUUGAUGCUAUCCAGGGUGUAAUUCCACAGUUCGUGUCUUUUUCUAGUGCCAGCUUAAUAAAUUUCUGCCUACUCCCAGCCAUUCAUUUCCAGCUCAGCAGCAAUGCGGUGCCAUCUCUUUCUUGACCGUGUGGAAAACCAGAUGACUGAAAAUACCUCAGUCAAGAAAAAAACCACUUUUCUAAAAUUUGAAUUAGAAUCGUUUGAAUGAACUUGUUACAGCAUGGCCCGUGGGCAGUUGUACAGGUAGAGCUGAAGGUGACAUGAAUUGCAGCGUCAGAAGCAGCAGUGAGCACUGGAGGGUGUCCCAGUGUUAAAAGAUCUUGCUGUCAACAAAAAUCUACUCUGGGACCCUAUCCUGGAUGAAGGGGUUUCACUAGCCACAGUAUUAUUUUGUGUUGCUUUUCAUUUUAUUUUUAUUUUCUUAAAAAAGAUUAACAUCUUGCUUGGGCAGGUUUGUUUUUUCUUCAGAUAAACCGUCUCUGUGAGAAGUCAGUCAGCUUUGUGGACAGCCAUGAAUGUCAAUAAAGUCUUGGCAAACACACGAGAAAAGACAGAGCUGCCAAGUGCUUGGAUCUCAUGACGGGCUUUUCAGACGUGAGUACUGCUGCUGGUGUACCCAGGACUGGGUCCUGUUCCUUGUUGGAUCUUUCCUACAGCAACAGGGAAAGAAGGAAGAAAAAUGCUUCAUGACAACAGAAACAUUGGACUGUAAAAUAUACAUAUGUAUGAGGAAAAGAGAAGCAUGUGU